ensembl:lncRNA
AUAUUAAUAAUAUCUCUCCAUAUGUGGUAAAACUGUUUAGUUUUAAUGAAAUGUGUCUAGAAAUGUAUGUUGUAGAAGUCAGACAUUAGGUUUCUUUAUCUGUACUCCUUUUGCACGUGUACAUUAUCACCCUUUUUAAAGCAAUUAAUCUCUUGUGUCUUCCAGCGUGGAUGUGCCUAAGACAGACGAAAUUCCAAUUAAAUUCCUGCUGCGGGUCGGUUUAAACAGACCGUUAUGAAUAUGUGAGCUGACUCUUUACCACACACAACAAAAGCUCUUUCCCUCAAAUACAGUCGCUUAUCUUUGCUCUUAUUUUCAAAGAAUUCAUCCGCUUGUGUUAAACUGUGUGCUUUAGGAAUAUACGGCUUUGCUCUUCUUCGGACAAUCGCUGUAAAACCAUAACAAAACGCGAUGGCAAAAGGUUUAAGCAGACAAAUGUAAUGUGAACAUUCAGUUUCUGAGCAAUCUCUGUGGGAUUAUAAAUGAUAUGAGGAUGUGAGAUACUUCGGAUACUUUUUGAUAUGGGGAUGUAUUGAAUUCCUACAGAAUUAACUUAACCCCUUGUUUCCUAAAACAAAUAGGCUAGUGGUGAAUGCCUUGCAAUAAUAAAGUUUAACUAAUAUCCCUGGUUUGUUUUUUCAUGGUACAUUGUGUCUUUAAACCAUAUAAAACUUAUCCACAAAGAUGGCUUGCAAAUCACGCUGUUAUCGUAACUAAAGCCUAUACGUUAUUUUACAAACCGGCCCAUCCGCGUUGGCCCAUCGCAUUAUUAGAGCUUCAGUGCAUCGAUUACAGGAGCUGUCCGGCGUCAGGUGUCGCUGAUAUGUAAAAGAAUGGGUCUUUCUAACACGAAAGAGUGAAAAUACUGCUUAAUAUGGAAAUCUUGUCGAAGUGUUGAAAUGUAUUAAGUAUUUCUGAAUUUAAUAGAAUAAACUAUUAUCGCUUUGGAAAGACAUUGUCUCAGACUCAAAUUUUACAGAUGUUAAUGAAAAUGUUAAAAUAUUUUAUAAAUAAAUUCAUUUAC